CAACGCUGGCGGCGUGCCUAACACAUGCAAGUCGAACGAGAAAGUGGAGCAAUCCAUGAGUACAGUGGCGUACGGGUGAGUAACACGUGACUACCUACCCUCGAGUGGGGAAUAACCUCGGGAAACCGGGGCUAAUACCGCAUAACAUCUACGGAUCAAAUGCGAAAGCAGCUUGAGGAGGGGGUCGCGGCCGAUUAGCUAGUUGGUGAGGUAAUGGCCCACCAAGGCAAUGAUCGGUAGCCGGCCUGAGAGGGCGCACGGCCACACUGGAACUGAAACACGGUCCAGACUCCUACGGGAGGCAGCAGUGGGGAAUUUUGCGCAAUGGGGGAAACCCUGACGCAGCAACGCCGCGUGGAGGAUGAAGCCCUUUGGGGCGUAAACUCCUUUCGAUCGGGACGAUUAUGACGGUACCGGAUGAAGAAGCACCGGCUAACUCUGUGCCAGCAGCCGCGGUAAUACAGAGGGUGCAAGCGUUGUUCGGAAUUAUUGGGCGU
rnacentral:rRNA from 1 species